rnacentral:rRNA from 1 species
AGCGAACGCUGGCGGCAGGCUUAACACAUGCAAGUCGAGCGGACCUUUCGGGGUCAGCGGCGGACGGGUGAGUAACGCGUGGGAACGUGCCUUCCGGUUCGGAAUAACCCUGGGAAACUAGGGCUAAUACCGGAUACGCCCUUAUGGGGAAAGGUUUACUGCCGGAAGAUCGGCCCGCGUCUGAUUAGCUAGUUGGUGGGGUAACGGCCUACCAAGGCGACGAUCAGUAGCUGGUCUGAGAGGAUGAUCAGCCACACUGGGACUGAGACACGGCCCAGACUCCUACGGGAGGCAGCAGUGGGGAAUAUUGGACAAUGGGCGCAAGCCUGAUCCAGCCAUGCCGCGUGAGUGAUGAAGGCCUUAGGGUUGUAAAGCUCUUUUAUCCGGGACGAUAAUGACGGUACCGGAGGAAUAAGCCCCGGCUAACUUCGUGCCAGCAGCCGCGGUAAUACGAAGGGGGCUAGCGUUGCUCGGAAUCACUGGGCGUAAAGGGCGCGUAGGCGGCGUUUUAAGUCGGGGGUGAAAGCCUGUGGCUCAACCACAGAAUGGCCUUCGAUACUGGGACGCUUGAGUAUGGUAGAGGUUGGUGGAACUGCGAGUGUAGAGGUGAAAUUCAUAGAUAUUCGCAAGAACACCGGUGGCGAAGGCGGCCAACUGGACCAUUACUGACGCUGAGGCGCGAAAGCGUGGGGAGCAAACAGG